GAAAGAAGCAAAAGUGACUACAAGAGAUGCUCCAGAGCUGAGCGUAGGGCCAGGGAGAUGGCAUCCGCUGUAGACCUGUUUCGGCGAUAGGCGAAUUGCAGUGGGUCCAGCUUGUCUGGGAGGCUGGAGUUGAUGCGUGCCAUGACCAACCUCUCCAAGCACUUCAUGAUGGUUGCUGUCAGAGCCACUGUUCGGUAGUCAUUGAGGAUGCGACCGAUGUGACCAAUGUGCGGUGGAGAAAGUUCAGGGCUGAUUGGAUCUUUGACGAGCAGGAACACAUGAAUAUGCUGCCCAACCUGCUGAGUCUUUUAUACCUGCAGGUGACAAAAAGCCCACACCUCUGAUCCUAUCGGGGAAUGUACAGAAAUCGCGGGUCACCUCUGCCAGUAACCACGGAGUUGGUGCAAAAGAAUGUCUCCUGCCCUGGGUCCCAAAUGCAGCCUCCUCAAUCAACUAUAAACUAAAUGGAUAAGUUCCUUGUCUGCCAACUAAAUAAGCUAGUGCUGCAUUAUGCAAUAGGAAGUUCAUCACCGACACUCACCAUAGACUCAAUGGAAAUGAAUGAUUCAUUCAAAACCUUUUAUGAGAUUGCAUAUAAAUCUGAAACAGCACCAAAAAUAUCUGUUGACAUUUGCAUUUAUAGCUAUUAAAACAUAACGGGCAUUUUGUGAAGGU